UAUGGUAAUGCAAUGGAUGCUCACCUACCAUUCUUAAUCUACCAAGUAACUUUAAUUUUCCUGGUAAAUAAGUGAAACGUAUGUUGAUGGUGACUAACUGUCCCGAUUUUACUUCCGUGCCGGAAGGAUCUUGGUAAUCUUGGAACUGCCAAUACUUUAAUUCCAUUUGUAUGUUCGAUUCUAUGGGAUCAUUUUAAGUUUUUAACGAAUUCAACAAGAGCUUCGAUUUUUUUUCACCAGAGAAGUGACCAGCGUCUUGCUUUGAGACUGAAUUUCAAGGAAACAUAACAAAGCUAGCCUUGGAACGAAUAAUUAUACCGAAUGAAAUAUAAUUUAAAAGAUAAAAAAUCAUAAUUAUGCAGCAGCUACUUCUCUCGAAAUAUAUCGUAUAACGCCUUACAAGUAA